rnacentral:rRNA from 1 species
UACGAAGGGGGCUAGCGUUGCUCGGAAUGACUGGGCGUAAAGGGCGCGUAGGCGGAUGGCACAGUCAGAUGUGAAAUUCCCGGGCUUAACCUGGGGGCUGCAUUUGAUACGUGUUGUCUAGAGUGAGGAAGAGGGGUUGUGGAAUUCCCAGUGUAGAGGUGAAAAUUCGUAGAUAUUGGGAAGAACACCGGUGGCGAAGGCGGCAACCUGGUCCUUGACUGACGCUGAGGCGCGAAAGC